rnacentral:rRNA from 1 species
UACGAAGGGGGCUAGCGUUGCUCGGAAUUACUGGGCGUAAAGGGCGCGUAGGCGGGUUGCUAAGUUAGAGGUGAAAGCCCGGGGCUCAACCCCGGAAUUGCCUUUGAGACUGCAUCGCUAGAAUUGUGGAGAGGUAAGUGGAAUUCCGAGUGUAGAGGUGAAAUUCGUAGAUAUUCGGAAGAACACCAGUGGCGAAGGCGACUUACUGGACACAUAUUGACGCUGAGGUGCGAAAGCGUGGGGAGCAAACAGG